rnacentral:lncRNA from 1 species
AAGGACAAAAAUAAUAAGGGGGACCCCUGCAAAAACAAGCAAUACUCACUAUUUUACAAAUAUAUCUUUUAAAAUUAAUUCGCAUAGUGAGGAAACAUGAGGAGUUUUGCAUUUUGAAAAGGCUUCACUCAAAUAUUUUCAAUUUGUCUUUUAAGAUGGUCUGCAGUAAGGCAAAUAUGAACAAGGGAAGACCAGAAUGAGGGCCUUCAAAGCACCGAUUAAUAUACUGGAGCAGAAAGUCCCAGUUUCCAUAAGGCAAAUGAAUACAAAACUGCACAUUCUAGAAGAGAAAUUCAUCCAAAGAUGUUGCAAAUGGAUAAAAAACAGUAACCAAAAGAAAUCACCUACCUGUUUUAUAAAUGAAAUUAUUAGUGUGAUUAUUUU